UACGUAGGGUGCGAGCGUUAAUCGGAAUUACUGGGCGUAAAGCGUGCGCAGGCGGUCUGUUAAGACAGAUGUGAAAUCCCCGGGCUUAACCUGGGAACUGCAUUUGUGACUGGCAGGCUAGAGUAUGGCAGAGGGGGGUAGAAUUCCACGUGUAGCAGUGAAAUGCGUAGAUAUCAGGAGGAAUACCGAUGGCGAAGGCAGGUCUCUGGGCUGACACUGACGCUCAUGCACGAAAGCGUGGGGAGCAAACAGG
rnacentral:rRNA from 1 species